GCCAGACUCCUACGGGAGGCAGCAGUGGGGAAUAUUGCACAAUGGGGGAAACCCUGAUGCAGCGACGCCGCGUGAGUGAAGAAGUAUUUCGGUAUGUAAAGCUCUAUCAGCAGGGAAGAAAAUGACGGUACCUAAUUAAGAAGCCCCGGCUAACUACGUGCCAGCAGCCGCGGUAAUACGUAGGGGGCAAGCGUUAUCCGGAUUUACUGGGUGUAAAGGGAGCGUAGACGGUGAUGCAAGUCAGAAGUGAAAGCCCGGGGCUCAACUCCGGGACUGCUUUUGAAACUGUGUAACUGGAGUGCAGGAGAGGUAAGCGGAAUUCCUGGUGUAGCGGUGAAAUGCGUAGAUAUCAGGAGGAACACCAGUGGCGAAGGCGGCUUACUGGACUGUAACUGACGUUGAGGCUCGAAAGCGUGGGGAGCAAACAGGAUUAGAUACCCCUGUACG
rnacentral:rRNA from 1 species